rnacentral:rRNA from 1 species
UACGGAGGGUGCAAGCGUUAUUCGGAAUUACUGGGCGUAAAGCGUGCGCAGGCGGCUUUGCAAGACAGAUGUGAAAUCCCCGGGCUUAACCUGGGAACUGCAUUUGUGACUGCAUGGCUGGAGUGCGGCAGAGGGGGAUGGAAUUCCGCGUGUAGCAGUGAAAUGCGUAGAUAUGCGGAGGAACACCGAUGGCGAAGGCAAUCCCCUGGGCCUGCACUGACGCUCAUGCACGAAAGCGUGGGGAGCAAACAGG